AAGGCAAAAUUAAUUACUAGAAGUUGUUUAGAGAAACAACUGGUUAUGAACCUACCCAUAGAUGCACAUGGGUUGACCAACCAAAGUUGGGCUCGUGUGUGGUCUGUGUGGAUUCUAGUACCCACUAAGGAAUUAAAGUAAUUCCUCGAAUUGGAGGUUGAGGCUACCAGUUCGUAAAAAUACUGGGAGAAACUUUAGACUAAAGUCCAAGUCUUUAGUAUUAAUAAUUUAUAUACUAAUAAAGGU
rnacentral:lncRNA from 1 species